UCCGGCGCUUCCCAAAGCCGCGAGCAGGAACCAGGGCUGCUAGCCUGCCUCAUUCUUCGAGGAGCCCAGAGAUGCACGCUGCCAGGGUAACAGGGAACGCAGAAAAAGAACAGGGGGGUCUGGGGCUUAGUUCCCUUUCAGGCGCUUUGUGCUAAAAAUAAGACGGCAAAGAGGAGAGCCAAAUCCGAAAAAGGUGGUUGCGGGGAGGUCAUCGUCAUUGCUAAGCAGAGAACUCCUCUCCGCCAGCUGCGUUAGAUAGGUCUGUGGAAAACCUGAAACAGGUGCCUGGAGAAGCUAGGAAUAGAUGCAGGGCGAUGAUACUAAACCAGGGAAGAAAACAGAACAAAUUUAAGUGGCUGUGAGCUGUCAGCACUGAUGACAGUCUGUUCGCUUGGCUCCCAAACCUUGUGCUAUUUUAUUUUAAUUUCUGUAUUAAAUUUGCAUUUCUUAUAACCAUGUACUGUAACAGUGUAUUUUACCCAAUGAGAUAUCUGCCUAGGUUCCAGGAGAGCAGCUACCAUCAAAACAAAUACUGGGCUUCAUGGACCAAAGGUCUAUCUUGGUAUAAGGCAGUGAUGACAAACCUAUAGCACGGGUGCCAGAGGUGGCACUCAGAGCCCUCUCUGUGGGCACGAGCAAACAGAGUAACCCCCCACCCCACACACACACAUCUAGGCUGGCCUGGGC